GUUUUACAUUGAAGCUGAAGGUCAGCUUUCUUCUGCACUCUCUGGUCUCUCUACUCUCUCCAUCUCUUUCUGAAUUAGACUCUUCAGUAUGCCAUCAUGUUCAUCAGUAAAUAUUGAAGACAUUGAGUAAGCUUUCCCAGGGCAGUUGGUGUUGCCACAAUAUAUAUGACAUCACAGAGGAUGCCAGGGCUUUCCUGGAUACAGGAGAGUGUCCAGGGAAGAGCUGCAGAUGUCAUGGGAACUGACAUUGCUUCCCUCCUAAGGAGCUUUCCUCAUAAUACAACAGAAUUCAAGCUGACCUUUGCAGGAGCCUCUGUUGGAAUACAAGGGAAGCCCUUCAGCACCCCCUUCAUUCAAAGCCAGAGAUUUCUCCCUGAUUGUUUGGACAUCCUUUAGUUUUUUUCCAUGUGUGGAAAAUGUUGAUCUCCUACUGAAAUUUAUGUACACAAGAAUGUCUGGCAGUUUGUUCUGCAAAUCAGGAACCUGAAGGACCAUCAUUCCUUGUUUGGCAAAGUUCAGGGGUCACCUUCCUAUGUGUUAUGCAUGGCGAGUUUAUCAUGCAUUCCAGGUACAACAUUUUCUUAUUCAAUGGCUAAGCUUUUCCCUCUUGUAAAUAAACUCCAUAAUGAGUUUC